rnacentral:rRNA from 1 species
GCAUAUCAAUAAGCGGAGCGUCAUUGCCUCAGUAGCGGCGAGUGAAGCGGCAAGAGCUCCAGAUUUGAAAUCCUCACCUAGUGUGCGAGUUGUAAAUUGCAGGUUGGAGUCUCGGGUUAGACGUGUGUGCAAGUCCCUUGGAACAGGGUGCCACUGAGGGUGAGAGCCCCGUAUCGUGCAUGUCGACACCUGUGAGGCCCUUCUGACGAGUCGAGUUGUUUGGGAAUGCAGCUCUAAGUGGGUGGUAAAUUCCAUCUAAGGCUAAAUAUUGGCGAGAGACCGAUAGCGAACAAGUACUGUGAAGGAAAGAUGAAAAGCACUUUGAAAAGAGAGUGAAACAGCACGUGAAAUUGUUGAAAGGGAAGGGUAUUGGGCUCGACAUGGGAUUUACGCAUCGUUGCCUCUUGUGGGCGGCGCUCUGGGUUUUUCCUGGGCCAGCAUCGGUUUUCGUUGCAGGAUAAGGACAAUUGGAAUGUGGCUCCUCGGAGUGUUAUAGCCUUUUGUAGAUGCUGCGUAUGGGGACCGAGGGCUGCGGCGGACUUGUUUCGUCUCGGAUGCUGGCACAACGGCGCGAUACCGCCCGUCCCCAAAGGAGAAUGUGAGCGAAAAA